rnacentral:rRNA from 1 species
GACGAACGCUGGCGGCGUGCUUAACACAUGCAAGUCGAACGGAAAGGCCCUGCUUUUGUGGGGUGCUCGAGUGGCGAACGGGUGAGUAACACGUGAGUAACCUGCCCUUGACUUUGGGAUAACUUCAGGAAACUGGGGCUAAUAGCGGAUAGGAGCUCCUGCUGCAUGGUGGGGGUUGGAAAGUUUCGGCGGUUGGGGAUGGACUCGCGGCUUAUCAGCUUGUUGGUGGGGUAGUGGCUUACCAAGGCUUUGCCGGGUAGCCGGCCUGGGCGGGUGACCGGCCCCAUUGGGACUGAGCUGCGGCCCAGACUCCUCCGCGAGGCAGCAGUGGGGUAUAUUGCACAAUGGGCGGAAGCCUGAUGCAGCCACGCAGCGUGCGGGAUGACGGCCUUCGGGUUGUAAACCGCUUUCGCCUGUGCCGAAGCGUGAGUGACGGUAAUGGGUGAAGAAGCACCGGCUAACUACGUG